rnacentral:rRNA from 1 species
AACGAACGCUGGCGGCGUGCCUAACACAUGCAAGUCGUACGCGAGAGGGGGCAACCCCUGGUAGCGUGGCAGACGGGUGAGUAACACGUGGGUAACCUGCCCGGAGGUGGGGGAUAACCCUUCGAAAGGAGGGCUAAUACCGCAUAACGUCCCGGGAUCUUCGGGUCCUGGGACCAAAGCUGGCCACUACUUGUAAGCUAGCGCCACUGGAGGGGCCCGCGUCCCAUUAGCUAGUUGGUGAGGUAAUGGCUCACCAAGGCGACGAUGGGUAGCCGGCCUGAGAGGGCGAUCGGCCACACUGGAACUGAGACACGGUCCAGACUCCUACGGGAGGCAGCAGUGAGGAAUCUUGCGCAAUGGGCGAAAGCCUGACGCAGCGACGCCGCGUGGAGGAUGAAGGUCUUCGGAUCGUAAACUCCUGUCGAGCGGGACGAAUCCCGGGAGGGUGAACAAUCCUUCCGGUUGACGGUACCGCUGGAGGAAGCCCCGGCUAACUCCGUGCCAGCAGCCGCGGUAAUACGGAGGGGGCCAGCGUUGUUCGGAAUCAUUGGGCGUAAAGGGCGCGUAGGCGGCCGAGCAAGUCGGACGUGAAAUACCCCGGCUCAACUGGGGAACUGCAUCCGAAACUGCCGGCUUGAGUCCUGGAGAGGGUAUUGGAAUUCCCAGUGUAGCGGUGAAAUGCGU